GGGAGGGUUUGGGGUACAUGAGAGGUGGGAUGGGAAGGGAAUAAAAGUUUUAGGGGAAAAGUGGGAGGGAGAAUAAAUUUUGGGGAAAAAUAAAAGGUUUUGAGGGUUUUUGGGAGUAAAAUUUUGAGAAAAAGUAAAUGGGAGAGUAAAAUUUUGGUGGGAAAUGAAUUUUGGGUAGAUUGGGGGGUUGGGAGGGGAAGGGAGUAAAAGUUUUGGGGGGGAAAGCGGGAAGGAGUAAAAGUUUUGAGGGAAAAGUAAAAAGGUUUGGGAGUUU
rnacentral:lncRNA from 1 species